GCAAUUUUAGUGAUGAAAUUAUAGUUCAGCUGACUUCUGUUGAUGAAUUUCCUAUGUCUUUCGCUCCUAUCUGAAAAGUUGC